CAGCAGCCGCGGGAAUACGUAGGUGGCAAGCGUUGUCCGGAUUUAUUGGGCGUAAAGGGAGCGCAGGCGGUUUAGUAAGUCUGAAGUUAAAGGCAUUGGCUCAACCAAUGUAUGCUUUGGAAACUGUUAGACUUGAGUGCAGAAGGGGAGAGUGGAAUUCCUUGUGUAGCGGUGAAAUGCGUAGAUAUAUGGAGGAACACCGGUGGCGAAAGCGGCUCCCUGGUCUGUCAAUGACGCUGAGGCUCGAAAGCGUGGGUAGCGAACAGGAUUAGAUACCCCCGUAGUCCCUGUCUCUUAUACA
rnacentral:rRNA from 1 species